GUUUAAUUAGUUUAAGAAAAAUAUUGAUUUGUGGAAUCAGGGUUAAAAUUAUUAUUAGACA
rnacentral:tRNA from 1 species